rnacentral:rRNA from 1 species
GAGUUUGAUCUUGGCUCAGAUUGAACGCUAGCGGGAUGCCUUACACAUGCAAGUCGAACGGCAGCACGGACUUCGGUCUGGUGGCGAGUGGCGAACGGGUGAGUAAUGUAUCGGAACGUGCCUAGUAGCGGGGGGAUAACUACGCGGAAGCGUAGCUAAUACCGCAUACGCCCUACGGGGAAAGCAGGGGAUCGCAAGACCUUGCACUAUUAGAGCGGCCGAUAUCGGAUUAGCUAGUUGGUGGGGUAACGGCUCACCAAGGCGACGAUCCGUAGCUGGUUUGAGAGGACGACCAGCCACACUGGGACUGAGACACGGCCCAGACUCCUACGGGAGGCAGCAGUGGGGAAUUUUGGACAAUGGGGAAACCCUGAUCCAGCCAUCCCGCGUGUGCGAUGAAGGCCU